rnacentral:rRNA from 1 species
GACGAACGCUGGCGGCGUGCUUAACACAUGCAAGUCGAACGAUGAACCCGGAGCUUGCUCUGGGGGAUUAGUGGCGAACGGGUGAGUAACACGUGAGUAACCUGCCCUGGACUCUGGGAUAAGCGUUGGAAACGACGUCUAAUACCGGAUAGGACCUUGGAUCGCAUGAUCUGGGGUGGAAAGUUUUUUCGGUCUGGGAUGGACUCGCGGCCUAUCAGCUUGUUGGUGAGGUAAUGGCUCACCAAGGCGUCGACGGGUAGCCGGCCUGAGAGGGUGACCGGCCACACUGGGACUGAGACACGGCCCAGACUCCUACGGGAGGCAGCAGUGGGGAAUAUUGCACAAUGGGCGAAAGCCUGAUGCAGCAACGCCGCGUGCGGGAUGACGGCCGUCGGGUUGUAAACCGCUUUUAGUAGGGAAGAAGGGCUUCGGCUUGACGGUACCUGCAGAAAAAGGACCGGCUAACUGCGUG